GUCGCCCUAAAUCUCUAAUCCACGUUUCUUCCUCGCCGUCGACUGCCUCGGAAGAGAGAAGGGGAAUGGUAAUGGUCACGGCAUCGCCGGCAGCGGCGUCGCGCCCUCCUCUCGCUAUUCCGCACUCUGGUUCCACUUUCCCUCUUGGACCCCGUUGGCGCCGGGCUCUGCUCGACGUCCCGGCGGCGAAUGGGGCUCGGCCGCAAGGCCGCUGGCGACGCGACACCGCUGUUCGGUGCGAAGGCGGUGCCGCUGCUGCUGGGCAGCGGGUCCUCAGGACGUGCAAGAACUGCAAGCGGCAGUAUGACCCCGCCCUCAACCAUCCCUUGGCCUGCCGCUUCCACACCGCCCACUUCGGCGGAGAAACCAAGAGAAAGUUUGAGAGUGUGUACACAGGAGGGACCAUGGACACCCCUGACUCUGGCAAAGUGUUCCAGUACUGGCAUUGCUGUGGCUCUGAAGAUCCAUUUGAUGCUGGUUGCACAGCUGCUCCUCACUGCUCUUAUGAUGACUGAUAUCACAUGGUUGGCCUUCGGUACUUAUCAGUAAUGGACAAAGUCCUUCCUUCUUCCAACAGACGAUCGGCUUUGAUUCUGUAGCCCAAAGCAAAACGAUGAACAUCAUGUAUAGAAGCAGCUGAAGCAUCGACCAUGGAUCUUUCUUUUCUCAUACCUUGUGCUGUAUAAUUUUACAGGCAACAAUCCUGUUGUUGAUACAUUCGGCUUCUAAUUUUAUUAUGCAGUUGAAUUAUAUUCA